rnacentral:lncRNA from 1 species
CUAAGAUGAAAACUGAUUAAAAGGAGCAAGGAUGGAGUGGAAUGGAUGAAAAGGUUGUUUUGCACAGAAGUUGCCCAAUGAUGAAGUUGGAAAGCAUGCUAAAUCUGGAAGGUCAGCCAGCUGAAUCUCCUGAGUUCAGUCAGGAGGAUGUGCCCCUUCUGAGUGUCCUCUGUCACUGAGCUCAUUGACACCAAACCCCACUGUGCCUGGAUGAUGACAGGAUGUGAAAAUGCAAGGAAAGAAGGCAGAAGGAAUUCCUCUAAGAUGCACAGAUAUGCCCCUUCAAAUAUGUGUUUCCUUGGCAAUCUGGAAUGCAGAACCCAGGAAUGUGGUGCAGUUCUUUGAAUAGAGGAUUUAGGUUGUCAGCAGCUAUGAAUGUCAGUGACAAAAACAGCAACUGGCUCGGGUCUAC